rnacentral:rRNA from 1 species
AUUGAACGCUGGCGGCAGGCCUAACACAUGUAAGUCGAGCGGAGCGGCGGACGGGGGAGUAAUGCCUAGGAAUCGGCCUGGGAGUGGGGGAGAACGACCGGAAACGGGCGCGAAUACCGCAUACUAUUAGAUGAGGCUAGGUCGGAUUAGCUAGAUGGUGGGGUAAAUGCCUACCAAGGCGACGAUCCGGAACUGGUCGGAGAGGAUGAGCAGUCACACUGGAACGUAGACACGGUCCAGCCUCCUACGGGAGGCAGCAGGGGGGAAUAUUGGACAAUGGGCGAAAGCCUGAUCCAGCCAUGCCGCGUGUGUGAAGAAGGUCUUCGGAUUGUAAAGCACUUUCAGUUGGGAGGCGUUACCCACAGAAUAAGCACCGGCUAACUUCGUGCCAGCAGCCGCGGUAAUAC